CCUACGGGAGGCAGCAGUGAGGAAUAUUGGUCAAUGGGCGCGAGCCUGAACCAGCCAAGUCGCGUGAGGGAAGACGUCCCUACGGGUUGUCAACCUCUUUUGCCGGGGAGCAAUGCCGGGCACGCGUGCCCGGAGGGGGAGUACCCGCAGAAUAAGCAUCGGCUAACUCCGUGCCAGCAGCCGCGGUAAUACGGAGGAUGCGAGCGGUAUCCGGAUUUAUUGUGUUUAAAGGGUGCGUAGUCGGAUUUUUAAGUCAGCGGUAAAAUGGCCGGGCUCAACCCGGGCCGGCCGUUGAAACUGGGGAUCUGGAGUGGGCGAGAAGGAUGCGGAAUGCGUGGGGUAGCGGUGAAAUGCAUAGAUAUCACGCAGAA
rnacentral:rRNA from 1 species